ACAACAAGAAACAAGAGGGGUUGGAGGGAAUGAGAGAUUAUUAUUUAAUGGGAUAGAGUUGGUUUUGCAAGAUGAAAAGAGGCCUGGAGAACGAAGGUGGUGGUGAUUGUAUAACAAUGUACCUCACCUGAACACUGAGAAAUUAUUAAGAUGGGACUCCUUUGUGCAAUGUCCUUUAACUUUCACGAAACGAGGGAGUUAUGUCAAGCCAGGGAGGCCACAGGACCAAGCCAGUUAUACAACCCCAACUUGGUACAUAACAAGAACAAAAAUAGACACCAGCUCUCCAGAGCUCACUGUGUGCCAGAUGCCUGCCAACUGCUUUAUCCUACUUAAUUCUCACAACAAACUGUAUGCUCAGUCCUGUGGCUAUCUCCAUUGACAAAUGGCAAACCCAAGGCACAGGCCAGGAUUCUCUCCAACAGCACUGGACCCAUGGGAGGAGUGAGGGGCCAUAUAGACUGGGUACCCCCAGCAUGUUCUUGAGUAGGAGCUUUGCAGUGAGGAAACUGGAUCCCAGCAUCUGUCUGAUUAGUCUUCUAAUAUCAUAUACAAGUCCAGCCAUUUCUCAACUGUGAAUCUGCACCUAAGAGAAAUUUAGCUCUACCAACUUCAUAACAAGUUUGUGUUACCUUAUUCUGACGUAAGUCUUGCAGUUUCAGAUUGAAAUCCUUUUUCUCUGAGUCACUUAGGUCCAUCCUUUAUACUACCCACUUCCUUCAGUGGUGGUUCUCACACAUCUAUGGUCCAAAUUCAAAUUCUUUCAGCAGCACAGUCCAUAUUUCACUCUUUAGUUUCACACUUUAGGGGUGAGUUUAAGAUUUAAAUCCUAUACAUUAAAAUUCACUUUAUGGUUGUAACCAAUCAUUACACCAAGUAGACUCCAGUACAACAUCCCAUGGAUUUAUUCCACACCCUAAAAAUGUCCCUGAGCUUCCCCAGUCAAAGGCUCCCUAAGUCCCUCAAACUUGCUGAUCUAGUUUUGGUCCCUACAUUUUAUCCUUUUCCUGAAUGUCAUCUGAAUGAAAUAUUUCAGUGAGUAGCCCUUCUGGUUGGGUCUUUCACUUAGCAAAUGUGAAAUUGAUUUAAAAUUCAUCCAUGCUAUUGUGUGAAUUAGAAGCUUAUUUCUUUUUACUUCUGAAGAGUAUUCAUUGUAUGGAAAUAUCACAGUUUGUUAUUCAC